rnacentral:tRNA from 1 species
GCCCCUGUAGCUCAACUGGAUAGAGCGCCCCUUUCGUAGGGCGGAGGAUCCGGGUUCGAGUCCUGGCGGGGGCG